CCUGCUGCGGCUUCUCCCAGAUGGGGCGCAGAGGCAGAGCCGGAGGGGUGCGAGCCUGAGGGCUGCCUGGAAGGCGGACACCGGGAGAAGGGGUUCAGCUGUUCUCCGGGAGCCCCGGGAGCCCUCCCGCCCUGGUGGGCUGGCCUGGUUUGCAUUGCCACUUCCUGAGCCUCUGGGAUGUGGGCGGCAAGCAGGCCACCAGUAUUAUCCUGGAGUCUGCAAGUCCAUCUUGGGAAACAACCCUCUCAGUCUCCUCAUCUUUAAAGGGACAAAUGAGCAUGUGUCCGUGUGUAGGUAGAGAGAGGGAAGAUUUGAGCUCUUUCCAGGAAAGCCACCUCUUCAUCCAUUCUGCUCAGGGACAUGCUCUGGGUGAGUGUGUGUACAGACAUACAUAUGUAAUAUUUUCAGACUUUAUCUACUUCCAAACUGCUCACAGCAGGGGUGCAGAUGGAACUAUAUGCUAAUGGAUGUGGGAGAAGCAUGCUCCCCCCAUGAGGACUGCUCCUAUGUAUGUUGAAAGCAAGCUCUCCCCUAAGGGGCUUUCCUCCCUGCGUGGCUGUGCACACAUUAGCCGUUGGCUGGGUGCAUGCUGGCCAGAAGCCUGACCUGACCCACAGAUGAAGAACCUGUGGAGGCGAGGGAGAAGGGGGCGCUUUAUGUGGAUGAAUGACUCUAUUGAGACCGGCCCGAAUGGAGGCAGCCUCAACUAAAAUAGUCCUUCCCAACUGAAAACCAGCAUGUGAAACCAAGUUCCUGUGCAGAUUACUGGGCUCGGCUGUCUGGGGAAACAAAGGGGGGAGCAGAGCUUCCUGGCUUUUGUCACCGGCCCCUCCACACUGCCAGCCAGGGAUUAGAAGAUGUCGAGAUGUCCUUCUCUGGCCUGUCCAUCUGCACCAGGAUAUUUCUUUCUUGGAACUUUUGCCUUCCCCGACAGGACGCCACCCAGCUCUCUCCACUGCUCCCACCUGGGUCCCAAGACGUGGUUCCUGAACACCGACAUCCUGUCCAGAGAAAUGCCAAUGCGUUCAAACACAUGGCCAGGCAGCCACCAGGUAAGCCCGCUGCAGGCCUGGCAGGUCCAGAGAUGGGAGAUGCUGAGCACCCUUGAGGGCAGCAGUGAGUCCCCCAAACCCACCCUCCACGGCACCCCACCCCUGGCCCACCCCUGCCCCUCAUCCUGGGUCCCUGGUUCCCUGCAACAGAUGUGUGUGUGUGUGAACUCUCUAGCAGUUCUAGGUCAUUUGGAAGUACUACGCCUGUUUUUAUUAAAUGAAGGAAGCAGAACAGUUAACAUUCCAUACGGUGCAAAGAAAGGGCAGCAAGGCGACUGCAGCCAGCCUUGGACUAUUCAUGUGUUCUCUGACUGA
rnacentral:lncRNA from 1 species